rnacentral:rRNA from 1 species
UACGGGGGGUGCAAGCGUUGUUCGGAUUUACUGGGCGUAAAGGGCGCGUAGGCGGUCAGCACAGGUCAGUUGUGAAAUCUCCGGGCUUAACUCGGAAAGGUCAACUGAUACUGUGCGACUAGAGUGCAGAAGGGGCAACUGGAAUUCUCGGUGUAGCGGUGAAAUGCGUAGAUAUCGAGAGGAACACCUGUGGCGAAGGCGGGUUGCUGGGCUGACACUGACGCUGAUGCGCGAAAGCCAGGGGAGCGAACGGG